UACGGAGGGAGCUAGCGUUGUUCGGAAUUACUGGGCGUAAAGCGCACGUAGGCGGCUUUGUAAGUUAGAGGUGAAAGCCCGGAGUUCAACUCCGGAACUGCCUUUGAAACUGCUUGGCUUGAGGCCGGGAGAGGGUAGCGGAAUUCCCAGUGUAGCGGUGAAAUGCGUAGAUAUUGGGAGGAACAUCGGUGGCGAAGGCGGCUACCUGGACGGGUACUGACGCUGAUGCGCGAAAGCUAGGGGAGCAAACAGG
rnacentral:rRNA from 1 species